GAUGAACGCUGGCGGCGUGCCUAAUACAUGCAAGUCGAACGAAGCAGGGACGGGUGAGUAACACUUUGAUACCCUCCUAUAAGACUGGGAUACCUUCGGGAAACCGGAGCUAAACCGGAUACUUAUGUAUGGAUCUGCGCUGCAUUAGCUAGUGGGUAAGGUAACGGCUUACCAAGGCAACGAUGCAUAGCCGACCUGAGAGGGUGAUCGGCCACACUGGAACUGAGACACGGUCCAGACUCCUACGGGAGGCAGCAGUAGGGAAUCUUCGGCAAUGGGCGAAAGCCUGACCGAGCAACGCCGCGUGAGUGAUGAAGGUCUUCGGAUCGUAAAACUCUGUUAUUAGGGAAGCGGUACCUAAUCAGAAAGCCACGGCUAACUACGUGCCAGCAGCCGCGGUAAUAC
rnacentral:rRNA from 1 species